rnacentral:lncRNA from 1 species
GAGUGUGCCCUGUGUUUUUCAGUGUCACUGUUAGCUGUGGUCUUUCUGUACUUGGUGAACCGUGCCCGAGGUGGGAAUCUAAAUUAUUCUGCAAAACAAAGGGAACAAAUGAAGCCUUCUCAUUCAGAAUGAAACUCUGAAAUGGCUGCCGUGAGAGAGACAGCAUUCGCUGCUGACUGGAAACCUUCAGGAAAAUCACUUAGAAAAAUAACAUAGUGGAGAAUAUAUUUAUAUUUGAUACAUACCUACUUAAGGUUCACGCAGACCGUUUUAGCCUUUCGUAACCGUGUGUUAUGGAAGUGUUUAGUCAACAGUGAACAGUUUAGGGACUCUGGAACAUUCUGGAAGGACCUCGUCAGGGUCUGCAUCUUCUGUUGGGGUGAUUUUUAGUAAGUGCAUCCUUCAGAUGUAGCCUUUCCUUUGCAUCAUAGCAUGAAAAAGGGAAAACCCCCAAAGCAUAAGGGUCUGGGGUAGAAGCUGUUACGUACACAAUAAAGAACGGCGUCUUAACCGC